UAGGGAAUCUUCGGCAAUGGGGGCAACCCUGACCGAGCAACGCCGCGUGAGUGAAGAAGGUUUUCGGAUCGUAAAGCUCUGUUGUAAGAGAAGAACGUGUGUGAGAGUGGAAAGUUCACACAGUGGCGGUAACUUACCAGAAAGGGACGGCUAACUACGUGCGAG
rnacentral:rRNA from 1 species